rnacentral:rRNA from 1 species
CUUGCUCCGCCGGAUCAGUGGCGAACGGGUGAGUAACACGUGGGCAACCUGCCCCUAACUUUGGGAUAACUACUCGAAAGAGUAGCUAAUACCGGAUAUGAAGUCUGUAGGCAUCUACGGAUUUGGAAAGUUUUUCGGUUAGGGAUGGGCCCGCGGCCUAUCAGCUUGUUGGUGAGGUAGUGGCUCACCAAGGCGACGACGGGUAGCCGGCCUGAGAGGGCGACCGGCCACACUGGGACUGAGACACGGCCCAGACUCCUACGGGAGGCAGCAGUGGGGAAUAUUGCGCAAUGGGCGAAAGCCUGACGCAGCAAUGCCGCGUGCGGGAUGAAGGCCUUCGGGUUGUAAACCGCUUUCAGCAGGGAAGAAGCGAAAGUGACGGUACCUGCAGAAGAAGCACCGGCUAACUACGUGCCAGCAGCCGCGGUAAUACGUAGGGUGCAAGCGUUGUCCGGAUUUAUUGGGCGUAAAGAGCUCGUAGGCGGUUAGUCACGUCGGAUGUGAAAACUCAGUGCUUAACACUGAGCCUGCAUUCGAUACGGGCUGACUAGAGUGUUGUAGGGGAGACUGGAACUCCUGGUGUAGCGGUGAAAUGCGCAGAUAUCAGGAAGAACACCGGUGGCGAAGGCGGGUCUCUGGGCAACUACUGACGCUGAGGAGCGAAAGCGUGGGGGAGCAAACAGGAUUAGAUACCCUGGUAGUCCACGCCGUAAACGGUGGGCGCUAGGUGUGGGGAACAUUCCACGUUCUCCGUGCCGCAGCUAACGCAUUAAGCGCCCCGC